GAUGAAGAACGCAGCGAAAUGCGAUACGUAGUGUGAAUUGCAGAAUUCAGUGAAUCAUCGAGUCUUUGAACGCACAUUGCGCCCCCUGGUAUUCCGGGGGGCAUGCCUGUCCGAGCGUCAUUGCUGCCCUCAAGCACGGCUUGUGUGUUGGGCCCCCGUCCCCGGUUUCCCCCGGGGACGGGCCCGAAAGGCAGCGGCGGCACCGCGUCCGGUCCUCGAGCGUAUGGGGCUUUGUCACCCGCUCUGUAGGCCCGGCCGGCGCCAGCCGACACCCAACUUUAUUUCUAAGGUUGACCUCGGAUCAGGUAGGGAUACCCGCUGAACUUAAGCAUAUCAAUAAGCGGAGGA
rnacentral:misc_RNA from 1 species